rnacentral:rRNA from 1 species
GCUGUUCGCCAUUUAAAGUGGUACGCGAGCUGGGUUUAGAACGUCGUGAGACAGUUCGGUCCCUAUCUGCCGUGGGCGCUGGAGAACUGAGGGGGGCUGCUCCUAGUACGAGAGGACCGGAGUGGACGCAUCACUGGUGUUCGGGUUGUCAUGCCAAUGGCACUGCCCGGUAGCUAAAUGCGGAAGAGAUAAGUGCUGAAAGCAUCUAAGCACGAAACUUGCCCCGAGAUGAGUUCUCCCUGAGACUUAAAGUCUCCUGAAGGAACGUUGAAGACGACGACGUUGAUAGGCCGGGUGUGUAAGCGCAGCGAUGCGUUGAGCUAACCGGUACUAAUGAACCGUGAGGCUUAACCUUACAACGCCGAAG